GACGAACGCUGGCGGCGUGCUUAACACAUGCAAGUCGAACGGAAAGGCCCUGCUUUUGUGGGGUGCUCGAUUGGCGAACGGGUGAGUAACACGUGAGUAACCUGCCCUUGACUUUGGGAUAACUUCAGGAAACUGGGUCUCAUACCGGAUAGGAGCUCCUGCUGCAUGGUGGGGGUUGGAAAGAUUCGGCGGUUGGGGAUGGACUCGCGGCUUAUCAGCUUGUUGGUGGGGUAGUUGCUUACCAAGGCUUUGACGGGUAGCCGGCCUGAGAGGGUGACCGGCCACAUUGGGACUGAGAUACGGCCCAGAAUCCUACGGGAGGCAGCAGUGGGGAAUAUUGCACAAUGGGCGGAAGCCUGAUGCAGCAACGCCGCGUGCGGGAUGACGGCCUUCGGGUUGUAAACCGCUUUCGCCUGUGACGAAGCGUGAGUGACGGUAAUGGGUAAAGAAGCACCGGCUAACUACGUG
rnacentral:rRNA from 1 species